AGACAGAAGGAAUGGAGAGCCUGGCACUGCUGCUGCCCAAGAGCUGGCAGAAUGUUCCUCAGAAACAAACACCACUUCCUGCCACAAUGGGCCUGUUCUUUGCUCACUGAAUGGGAGCAGGUCUCAAUUUGCAGGUGUUCAGGUAUAAAGAGGAGGGAUGACAGCAGCAGAGAAAGGGGCUUUUCAAAACGCUGCACAGAUGUCAACAAGAGAGAAAAAAAGAAGAUAAUUUGUCCCAGUGCUGAUAAUUCGUCCCCAUUCAGGAUCAGCAUUUACCAGAAUGACAAAUUUCUUUUGAGUUCCAAAUCACAUCUUUAAUUUCUAAUUAACAUAACAAUGUAAA